rnacentral:lncRNA from 1 species
CCUCCCUUCUUCCCUUCCUCCCUCCCUCCCUUCCUCCCUUCCUCUCUUCCUCUCUCCCUCCCUACCCCCACCACGUGCACAGAAGAAAGACCAUGUUGAAGACACAGCUGGAAGGUGCCGUCUGCAAAUUAAGGACAGAGCCCUCACCAGAAGCCAAACCAGUCGGCAGCUUGUUCUUGGACCUCCAGCCUCCAGAACUAAGGGAUGCCCUGAACCCAGAAUCUGCGCUGAGAAAUUUAGCAGAAGAACUCUGGUCAUCCAGGAGAGCGACUCCCGACCCAAGAGGACGUUAGAGAGAAUCAUGUCAACAAGAGGUCACCCCGCAGUGAGAUUCUCACCAAAGAAAGCCUCUGGGGCCCUCUGGUGUUUCGCCGUGUGGGUUACCGGGCAGGGCCAGCUUCUGAGAGAACCUUGGUGGGCUGACCCUCAAGACCUACAUCUGGAUUUGACCUGAAAACCGUGCGCCCUGCCAGCUGCACCAGGCGAAAAUCUGAACUGCCCUUGGUCUCUCCUCUCCUUCUGCUGGUGGUCCUUGCUCCAAGGUGGACCACCGUCUAUCUACGACUCCACACAUCCACCACUAUGAGCCGGGCUGCCAGCCUCUGCCACCUCCGCUCCCGCAGGAGCGUCCGCUCUGCCCCCUGUGCUGGUCCUUUGCCUGUUGGCAUUCAAAUCCCAUCUCUCUCUCUGCCCUCUCUGCAUCACAGGAACUACAUUUCCCAGGCUCCUUUGCUCUCUGGAGUCUGGGUAAAUUCCAGCAAUGGGAGAAUAGAGGGAGGGAUGAAGGGAGAAACUGGGGAGUUCCUGACCCUCUGCCCGCUUCUGGCGGCAUCCCUGGGCAGCAUGGCACCCCCUCAAAGUUUCCACCUCCAUGGUCCCAGCCCCAGCAGGGACCCCAACCCAGGUUCCCCUUCCUGCCAGAUGGCUCCAGCUCCCAGGCUCAGAUGUCCCACCACCUCUUCCCAUUGUCCCUUGGGCCAUUAGUGCAAAGACGUUUCCUGCUGUUGAUCGUUUCUGGGUCCCCUCAUUGGACUUCUAAGCUUUUCUAACUCUCGUGGAACCAAUUCCCUGCCUUUACUACCCUCUGUUUGAAACACCUAGACCAGACCCCAACUGGUACAUUCUUUCCUGCCAUCCAUUUUCUACCCAACAGCCGGAGUUAUGUUUUUAAAAUGUAAAUUAAAUCACGUCACACCGGCUUAAAACGCUCCAAUGACUUCCAUCACCCUUAGAAUAAAAUCCAAAUUUCUCAUCACCAUCUACAAGGUCCUUCAAGAUCUGCCCCCUGCCUAGCUCUCUACCUCAGCACACGCCUCUAUCCCCCUCACUCUGGCCUUCAUUCAGGUCUCAAACUCUCGAAGCCCUCCUCUGCCUCAGGGCCUUUGCACAUGCUCUUCCUUCACCUGACAAGCUCCAUUCCCUGCUAUCUACUUGGCUCACUCACUCCUUUUCCUCCUUUAUGUACCAGCACA